ACAUCAUCAUGACGAUGACGAUGAUGAUGAUGCUGAUGGUGUAUGAAAUUUUAUUGUACUCGACGGACUUUAGUAGUAGAAAUGUACAAAAUACUCAACAGCAUCUCAUCAUCAUCAUCAUCGUCUCCAGCA
rnacentral:pre_miRNA from 1 species